UACGGAGGGAGCUAGCGUUGUUCGGAAUUACUGGGCGUAAAGCGCACGUAGGCGGCUUCGCAAGUCGGAUGUGAAAUCCCUCGGCUCAACCGAGGACGUGCAUACGAAACUGCGGAGCUUGAGUGCUGAAGAGGAUCGCGGAAUUCCCGGUGUAGAGGUGAAAUUCGUAGAUAUCGGGAGGAACACCAGUGGCGAAGGCGGCGAUCUGGGCAGACACUGACGCUGAGGUGCGAAAGCGUGGGGAGCAAACAGG
rnacentral:rRNA from 1 species